GAGGCUGUGGCUCAGUGGUAGAGUGCUUACCUAGCAUGUGGGAGGCACUGGGUUCAAUUCUCAGCACCACA
rnacentral:tRNA from 1 species